rnacentral:rRNA from 1 species
CCAAUAGCGUAUAUUAAAGUUGUUGCAGUUAAAAAGCUCGUAGUUGAAUUUCGGGGUUAGUAGGUUGGUCAUGCCUCUGGUAUGUACUGGUCUCACUGAUUCCUCCUUCCUGAUGGACCUUAAUGCCAUUAAUUUGGUGUUUUGGGGAAUUUGGACUGUUACUUUGAAAAAAUUAGAGUGUUUAAAGCAGGCAUUUUUGCUUGAAUACAUUAGCAUGGAAUAAUAAAAUAGGACGGCAUGGUUCUAUUUUGUUGGUUUCUAGGACCACCGUAAUGAUUA